GCCCUGACCCCCAACACUGGGCCCACUGCGAAUAUGUUGAAAGGGUUGCUGUGGAGGUUUCGUACAUACAGCCCCCAGUGUGACUUCUGGCACGUGUUGCCUGCUAGCUGCUAAUUUGAUGACGGUGAUGAGGAUCAGCUGUGCCUUGCAUUCUUGACUCACAGGUGCAUGAAGUGUCACAAGUCAACUGCGACUUUCUAAGGAAACGAGCAAAGCCACGAGAUGAAGGAAAUGGAUGGCAGAGUUGCAGUGGGAAGAUUUCUCCCCUUCUUAGGCGCGUGACAUUUCAAAAUAGAAGUGAAUAAAUCU